rnacentral:miRNA from 1 species
UCGAUGUUGAAUUUUGGCAAC